rnacentral:rRNA from 1 species
CACCGGCGGCCCGAGUGGUGGCCACUAUUAUUGGGUCUAAAGGGUCCGUAGCCGGUUUGGUCAGUCUUCCGGGAAAUCUGACGGCUCAACCGUUAGGCUUUCGGGGGAUACUACCAGGCUUGGGACCGGGAGAGGUAAGAGGUACUACGGGGGUAGGAGUGAAAUCUUGUAAUCCCUGUGGGACCACCAGUGGCGAAGGCGUCUUACCAGAACGGGUCCGACGGUGAGGGACGAAAGCUGGGGGCACGAA